ACAAAAGCUACAAAAAAACAACACACACAAGGUUGUUGUGUUGAAACUAAUUUUUCUUGAAUGAACAACUUUCCUGGUAAAGCGUCUCAGAUUUUAAGAUUGUGAAGAUUUUUACCUACAUGUAUGUACCACAUCUGCACAAACACAAACUGUCAUACCCACUACAUACUGAAGAACCUCUCCAAAAAAAUGAUGACAUCACAGCUGGAGAUGUCAGAAAAAUGAGGCUCAAAAAGUAUUUCAAAAUCCAAAUAAAACAAACGUAUCAAGAAUCUCCAAAAGACGUUUUAAAAUGAUGAUGGGAUGGCAACAAAACCUCCGGCUUGAUGGCCAUUUUGUGACAAAGCAUGACAUUUCUCCAAUUUUCAUGUUUUCCCUCAAUUUGGGGAAAAAAAAAAGUUUUAUUUGAGUGAUAUUCACCCAAAUUUUGGUUAGAACGACAGCCGCGUGUUUGGUUUUGUUCUUUCUUUUGGGUCUGUGUAUUUUUGUCAGAGUGGGACUCGUGUGUGUUUUGUGGAUCUUUGUUUGUCUUCUGUGUCAAUUUCUUUCAGGUGUGGUGCUGGAGGGCGUGGCUCCCCAUUGGUGAAAGCUGAAGGAAGGAGCUUUCAAAAGAACCAUGUGGACCUCCAACCCCCGAGAAGGGACCUGGGCUACAACAUGUCUCCACUGCAGCUCGCACUUUCUGCAUUCCUCACUGAUGAUGAUCCGGUGAUUCCAAGAAUGUACCUGAUCCAGGGGCAGUGAGAUGCUGGAGCCUAUCCCAUCUACCGUGAAGGCAGAGUUCCUCCUGGACAUGUUCACCAAUCCAUCACAGGGAAAGGUACCCUAAUUUUGUUUUUAAAUAUAAGUUUUUUACUUUAAUAUUUUUUUAUUUUUAAGGUCGGAGUGAGUUAGUUGUCAGUGUGAAGACAAUUCUAUGUAACAUUAACCUCGUUAAUGUGUUAGAAAUGUGACGGGUCAAAUUUGACCCGCGUUUUCACUCAGUCUGAAGUCAUAUCCAAGAAAACACCAUGUUUUUUUUAUUUUUUUGAUCCACAGACCUUUAAAUCUACAUUAUACCAUCUGUUUUCAAUUACAAAAACUGUCUAAUCAUAUUUCCUGUAGUGAUAAAACAAAUAAUUAUAAUAUAUAUUUCUUAAAAAUAGUACACCUGUCCCCAAAAGUUUUCUUAAUUUUUUCUUUUACCUAUUUUAAUUCAAAA